rnacentral:rRNA from 1 species
ACGCUCGACACCUACGGGAGGCAGCAGUGGGGAAUAUUGCACAAUGGGGGAAACCCUGAUGCAGCGACGCCGCGUGAAGGAAGAAGUAUCUCGGUAUGUAAACUUCUAUCAGCAGGGAAGAAAAUGACGGUACCUGACUAAGAAGCCCCGGCUAACUACGUGCAAGCAGCCGCGGUAAUCUGAGCGGGCUGGCAAGGC